rnacentral:rRNA from 1 species
UGGGGAAUUUUGGACAAUGGGCGCAAGCCUGAUCCAGCAAUGCCGCGUGCAGGAUGUAGGCCUUCGGGUUGUAAACUGCUUUUGUACGGAGCGAAAAGGUCUGCCCUAAUACGGUGGGCUCAUGACGGUACCGUAAGAAUAAGCACCGGCUAACUACGUGCCAGCAGCCGCGGUAAUACGUAGGGUGCGAGCGUUAAUCGGAAUUACUGGGCGUAAAGCGUGCGCAGGCGGUUAUAUAAGACAGGUGUGAAAUCCCCGGGCUCAACCUGGGACCUGCAUUUGUGACUGUAUAGCUAGAGUACGGUAGAGGGGGAUGGAAUUCCGCGUGUAGCAGUGAAAUGCGUAGAUAUGCGGAGGAACACCGAUGGCGAAGGCAAUCCCCUGGACCUGUACUGACGCUCAUGCACGAAAGCGUGGGGAGCAAACA